CAAACGGUUCUUUUUAGGACCACCACAUUAUCUGACACAGGAAUACU
rfam:Dufourea novaeangliae contig871, whole genome shotgun sequence.